UCUCUCACGUUGGGGCUACUUGUUUUAGGGCGCAAAGGAGCGGCUUCGAAAGUGGGUAUUUCCCCUGCCGAAGACCAGGAAUCCUCCCCGAGCCCGCGCGCGCGACCCGCCGGUGCGCCGCGGCCCGCGGACAAACCUUCAUAUACAGAGUGUUUUUGACUUGGAACCUUCCCUUUUUUACUCCACUCAAUUGACUUAGCAGGGUUUCAAGAGCAGCGUUCAUAAAUUUGCAGCAUGGAGAUCUCCUCUCACCAGUCCCACCUCCUGCAACAACUGAACGAGCAGCGCAGGCAAGAUGUCUUUUGCGACUGCAGCAUUCUGGUUGAAGGGAAGGUCUUCAAAGCGCAUCGAAAUGUAUUAUUUGCUAGCAGCGGCUAUUUCAAAAUGCUUCUUUCUCAGAAUUCAAAGGAGACCAGUCAACCCACUACAGCUACAUUUCAGGCUUUCUCCCCCGACACUUUUACGGUUAUCCUGGACUUCGUCUAUUCCGGCAAACUCUCUCUCACUGGUCAGAAUGUCAUAGAAGUGAUGUCAGCUGCUAGCUUCCUUCAGAUGACUGAUGUCAUUAGUGUAUGUAAGACCUUUAUUAAAUCUUCACUAGACAUUAGCGAGAAAGAAAAAGAUCGCUAUUUCAGUCUCUCCGAUAAAGAUGCUAAUUCUAACGGUAUAGAACGUUCCUCCUUUUAUAGUGGUAGCUGGCAAGAAGAAAGCGGUUCUCCACAUUCUCACCUAAGCCCAGAUCAAGGAACGGGUAUAAUAAGUGGGAAAUCUUGGAGCAAGUAUAAUUACCAUCCAGCCUCCCAAAGGAACACCCAACAACCUUUGGCCAAGCAUGAACAAAGGAAAGAUUCCAUUAAAAAGUCCAAACAUUGGAGGUUGUCACAGCCUUCUGAAGUUGCUCAUUAUAAGUCUAGCAAACGAGAAGCUCGGACAUCGGAUUCUUCCGGCCACGUUUCCCAGUCGGAAGAACAAGCACAAGUUGAUGCUGACAUGGACUCUACUCCUGUUGGCUAUCCGUAUGGUCCAGGAUCUGAUGUCACAUCCAGAAGCUUUCCAGAUGAUCUGCCCAGGAUGCGGUUCAAGUGCCCGUACUGCACACACGUGGUGAAGCGGAAAGCAGACCUCAAGCGCCACCUUCGCUGCCAUACGGGAGAAAGGCCCUAUCCGUGUCAAGCUUGUGGGAAAAGAUUUAGCAGGCUGGACCAUCUCAGUAGCCAUUUCCGAACAAUUCACCAGGCAUGCAAACUAAUCUGCAGAAAAUGCAAACGCCACGUGACUGAUCUAACAGGGCAAGUGGUCCAGGAAGGAACCAGGCGCUACAGACUCUGUAACGAGUGCCUUGCUGAAGUUGGCAUAGACAGCCUCCCCAUUGAUUUGGAAGCUGAACAGCAUCUUAUGUCCCCAUCAGAUGGAGAUAAGGAUUCCAGAUGGCACUUGAGUGAAGAUGAGAAUAGAUCAUACGUGGAGAUUGUAGAGGAUGGGUCUGCUGAUCUGGUCAUACAACAGGUUGAUGAUAGUGAAGAAGAAGAAGAAAAGGAAAUAAAACCCAACAUUAGGUAGCUGACGUGUGACCCCACAGAGCUGUGGCGUGUAUGCAACUUACAUUGACUUCCUGUAUCUCUCUUUCCAUGGUCAGAGUCUGGUUAACAAAUUUAUCAGACUGACUUAAAAGUAAUGACCUAAUAUAACUUGCAUGCUUUCCAAACAGGUCAUUGUAUCCAUUCUGAACUUUGUUGCCCUAAAAUAUGUUGCUGCACCGGAAAGGAAGACCUAGCUUGAGUUGGCAUGAUGGAUGAACAAUUAAUCCUCUUUUUUUUUCCCCCUUUUAAUACUGGAAGAUCUACUUAGCAAACUUUUCUCAAAGAAAAUAUUUUAAAUAAAUUUACCACAACCAAACCUUAUGUAAGAGAAUUUCAAGGUGUUGCAAAAACACAAACUAUGAAUACUGAAUUUUCACAGGGAACCAGGAGAAAAAAACAACAAAAAACGAUACACAAGAAAAUUGGAGGUUACCACUUCUUAAGAAUGAUUUCUAACAUUUAUUUUUCUGCUCUAUUGUUUUUAAAGUGCUGUCUCACACAUUUUCUCACUUAAUCAGCAAGGUAAAUAUUAAUUGCCUCUGAUUUGCAAAUGACGAAAUUAAGGUCAGAAAGUUUAAGCUUUGGGACUUGUGACGGACAGGUUUUGAUUUUACACAGCCCUCUUCCAACUGUCUCUCCCUGUAUUGUCUCUGGAAAUGGCAGAGAAUUAAAGUCAAACCUCACCAAUCUGCAGUAAUUAGAAAAAGAAGCCUAUCAGAAAGCAUGAAAGAUUUUAAUAAUCUCUAACAACAUAUAAUAACUUGAACUAGAGUUAUCCAAGAGUGCUCAGUAAUGUCCCUACAGUGUCUUUUGACAUGUUUUUAAUGUCAAGUUAUUUAUAUGUAAAUUUUAUAUAUAACACUAUUUGAACCAAUUCUUCUCUUAGAUGCUUUAAGCAUUUUUACUUAUCUUGUUUAUGUAAUUUUUCAAAACAAACUUUUCCCCAAGGAAACAAAGGUGAGUUUCAACUCCUCCCCUGUGUGAAUUAGGAAACAUUCUAAACGUACAGUUAAAUUGGAGAAGCAUUAUUUUAGUUCUGAAGAUAAAAUCUAAAUGCCAAAAAAACCUGACCUUACUAAAGGUCACUGCAAGUUAUUACAAUUAAGCUUGAUCUGAUUUAAUUUUGAUGGAGAGAGGCUCUCUAUCAAAUUAUACUAUAUUUCUAAAUGUCAUAACAUAUGUCAAUAUGACCCUUUUCAUUUUAUUCUUUCUCUCAUUCUUUCAUUAGUGAUUGUCCUUUGAUACAAGUUGAGGGCUAAAAUGGUUAAUUUCUAAAACAGUUUUUAUAAAUAGAUGACUAACCAUUUGUUUUUGUUUUAUGGUACUUAAUGCUGAGACUUUUUUCAAGAUUCCCCUGGCGGUAAAUUUCCAUUCGCUUCAAGACUGGAUGGUAUGCACUGAGUUCAUUGUGCUCCCAACAUGACUGUUCCUGAAUCAGGAGUCUUAACAAUGAAGUUGUAUCCAAAUGAGGGAGGGAACACUUGUCAUUCUCUAGUCUCACCAGAUGGUAGCAUCUUUUAAAAUUAUUAUCUGAUUUUUUAGUCCUUGGAGCCAAGAGGAAAAAUGAGUGAUGGGAGCUUUAUUCAUGAGGAUGAUUAGUGCUUGCAUGUGUAUGCUCUAAUGCACUUUAGUCUGUGAUCUAAAUGUUCUUUUAUGCUGUUCUCUUAUGCAUGCGAACAUCAGCAUGAAUGUCAGCAAAGCCCACUGGACACGGUGCCACCAGCACCUUAUCUGAAAUAAUGCUUUCUCAUUGUUUAUAACAAGCAACAGGCUAUCCCCACAAAACAGCCAUCAGGCUCAUCAAACUAGACAGCUCAUCUAUCCUACCAUUUUAGUAUCCUAAAAGAAAAACAUUUGUGACAUGUUUGUAAGUUGUAAAUAAUAACUCCAGUUAUCAUAUCAUAUGUAUCGAAGACUUUAAAGACCAGUUCUUUCCCAGAGUGAGACUGUCCAGUAAUGGUUUCUGAGAAAACAAAAGUCUUUGGCUUUUAAAUGUGGGGAAAUGUUACAUAGGGGUGUAAUCUCUUAAUGUAAGCUUAAUUUAUGCCAAGGGUUUUUUCUUUUUUUCAUAUUAGCAAAAUAGCGGGAGUUGGUUAGAACAAAGUUUGCUCUUACAGUAAUGCUGUUUAUCAGCUGGUGAAUGCCUUUCUAACUGUGUGGUCCUCAAGAGUGUGUGGCGAUGGGAAGAAGUGUUGCAAAAUAAAGCAAUACCGCAGUCGUGCCUAGUGGCUGGAGGAGGCAAAAUGGACUAGAUCGGUGGUUUAAAAGAUUUUUUUUUUAACCCAAGAAACCCUUUCUUCAAAUGAAUUGUUUCAGAGAGAAGCCCACCAUUUAAGGUGGGCGAAACCCUAAAAUCAGAGCUGCUCUUGUUAAAGCCCUCUGUGAGCCUUUCACCAGACACCUCUGCAGAGCUCAGGAGUGCGGUACUGAAAACCUUGGAACCAGGGAACUUUUUGAAUUCCCUUUGAGCAUUGCGGUCUUACUUCAUUACCUCUGUUACCGUGCUGAUAAACUGGUAAUCACGGGGUCUCCUAGAGCAGCAGCUCACAGCCUUCAUCGGUACAAUAUUCCUUCUAUAGUUAGCAUGUCUUUUGAAGAACAAAUUUUUCAACAUUGUAUUUUUGACUAACGAAAUCAAAACAAGCACCGUUACUGCUUUUAUGCCACCAAGUCAUUGCUUAAUGGAUGAAGAAAGUUUGGUGUGUCAGUUACUUAAGAGUUCAGACUGAAUUCAUUAAAGUUAUUUUGCUAAGUCAUGCUAAGAUAUAUCGAAACUUCCACUCAUAUUGGAUAUAUAUAUAUAUAUACCUAUAUAUACAUAUAUAUCCUAUAUAUACAUAUAUAUCCUAAAUUAAUUAAUACCAUGGAAAUUUAAUACUGUGGAAAAUCACUAAAAGUGACAUAGUGUAAGAUUAUUUAACUGGGAAGGCUGAUAAUAAUAGGUACUGGAGGACCAAACUUUAGAUCAUACAUGGAAAGUUCUAUGUUAUUUUAUAUUAGAGUGGAUCAGUAUUACUAUUUAUCAUUUAUAUAGCAUUUUAUAUUUACAAAGUAUUUAAUAAUUUUUAUGUUAUUCUUUACAUAUCUAUGAAAUAGGACAGUUCUCUCACAUGAAAGGUAAAGAAAUUGAGGCACAGAACAGUAAAGCAACCUCCCUAAGACAACCCAGUGAAACAAUGGCAAAAAUAGGAACUAGAAUGAUCGGAUUUUCUGAAUCCUAGAAUAUCAGCUUAAUUCACUGAGGUGUGUUGUGUAUUACUCGAUUUUAUAAGAUGCCUUUUACAAAUAAUAGUCAAUUGUCUUAAAGUUGACGUCAUUGUAUGUGGAUAAAUCCUAUACAGAAUAAAUAUUAUGUAAAGGAUGUGACUUUAGUUAUAAGAGUUUUAAUGAUAAAAUUCAGGCUAUCACAGAAACAGCACUGUUUAGCCAGUGGCUUUAUAUAUUGUGAAGUAUAAUUAAUAUUUUGUUUUGAUAUAGGAGUUUCUUAACUAUUCAUGCUAAUGGAGCCAUGAAUAGACCAGAAAAAUGAAAUCCACAGAGGAUCUAUACACUUCGUCUUCUAACAUGUUAGUCUUUUCCCUACGGAAUUUGUAUUGAUGCCAACAAAAAGUCAAAUAUGUUAAUAAGUGAUAAACCACACACAAGAGAAGCCAAGGGCCUCUUAACUUUUCAAGGCUUUUCGAUACUAAAAUAGGAUAAACAUUUUUCUCCAUCUCUUUAUUUUUUUUCACAUCCGUUUCAAAAGCCAUUGGAUACUUACCACCUUGAGAUUCGAAACCAGUGACCAGGGUAAUGCCAGUCAUCUUUUUACCUUGAGACUUGAUUAGAUAGAUCAUUUACAAACAUUGUUAAAUGGAAUACAGCUUAUAAAGUAUAUCUAGGAAUUUAUUAUACUCUGCUUUGCUCUUUCAGAUUUCUAGAUAUACAAAUCCAUUAUAUAGUUGCUUGAUUUUCCCAUUGGGAAAAUCUUUUAAUCCCUUGUUGAUAUUAUUUACA